UACGUAGGGUGCAAGCGUUAAUCGGAAUUACUGGGCGUAAAGCGUGCGCAGGCGGUUUUGUAAGUCAGAUGUGAAAUCCCCGGGCUCAACCUGGGAACUGCGUUUGAAACUACAAGGCUGGAGUAUGGUAGAGGGGGGUAGAAUUCCACGUGUAGCAGUGAAAUGCGUAGAGAUGUGGAGGAAUACCAAUGGCGAAGGCAGCCCCCUGGACUAAUACUGACGCUCAUGCACGAAAGCGUGGGGAGCAAACAGG
rnacentral:misc_RNA from 1 species